CGAGGAAUAUUGGUCAAUGGGCGCAAGCCUGAACCAGCCAUCCCGCGUGCAGGAAGACGGCGCUAUGCGUUGUAAACUGCUUUUCCAGGGAGAGAAACUUGCGCACGUGUUGCGCAAUUGACGGUACCCUGGGAAUAAGCAUCGGCUAACUCCGUGCCAGCAGCCGCGGUAAUACGGAGGAUGCGAGCGUUAUCCGGAUUCAUUGGGUUUAAAGGGUGCGUAGGCGGACUAUUAAGUCAGUGGUGAAAUCCUGCAGCUUAACUGCAGGACUGCCAUUGAUACUGAUAGCCUUGAGUUUGGUUAAGGUAGGCGGAAUGUGUAAUGUAGCGGUGAAAUGCUUAGAUAUUACACAGAACACCAAUUGCGUAGGCAGCUUACUGGGCCGACACUGACGCUGAGGCACGAAAGCGUGGGGAUCGAACAG
rnacentral:rRNA from 1 species